rnacentral:rRNA from 1 species
AUGGCGUUCGCCGCGCGGAGGAGCCUCGCCUCCCGCUUCUCCCACCACCUCACCCGCCGCCUCCACCCAUCCGUCCCGCAUCUGCUCUCCCGCUCCAACGACGAUGACCCCCCAUCUCAGCCACUGCCACCGCCACUGCCACUCCAGUCACUCCGCUCCCCGCUCCCACCCGCUUCCAGAGCGGCCCAAGCCCUACACCACCUCUUCCCCUUCUCCCUCCACCACCCGGGGCUACCCCGCCGUAGCUUCUCCUCCUCCGCCCCUGCCCCGGACCCACCCGGAGAGGUUGAUGCUGCUGCGAGCGUCCUUGUCGACGCCGUGGCUUCGUCGGCGCCAGCGCCGUUCCCGGGGGAGGUGGCAGCCGCCGCCGCCGACUCCUUCUUCCCCUUCGCCGCGCUGCAGCACCUCAUUGAUACCAUACAUACCUUCACCGGGCUCAACUGGUGGGCUUCUAUCGCGUUAACGACGGUGCUGAUCCGGACCGCGGUGAUACCAUUCGCGGUUAGCCAGCAGAAGUCCAGCGAGAUGAUACAGGCAAUGCAACCAGAGAUGGAUGCCAUUAGGGGUGCAGUGGAUCGUACGGAUCCGAAAUCAGUGCUAGAGGGGAAAUAUAAAAUGACCGCACUCUUUCGGAACUAUGGUGUUACUCCAUAUGCUCCAUUAAAAGGACUCAUAAUCCGAUCGCCAAUGUUCAUGAUCUUUUUCUUUGCUAUAAAUAACAUGGUUGAGAAAGUCCCUUCGUUGAAAGGAGGUGGAGUAUUUUGGUUUACUGAUCUGACAACCCCGGAUCCUCUUUACAUCCUCCCUGUGUUAACAUCACUGACCUUCUUGGCUACAGUGGAGCUCAACUUGCAGUGUGGAAUAGUGGGCCAUCCUUCUGUUGCCAGUAUUAUGAAGAUGUUUAAUAGAGGAGUGGGACUCAUGAUAGUCCCAUUCACAAUGAAUUUUGCCAAGGGAUUUUUCUUUUACUGGAUCACGGCAAACUUGUUCACACUUGUAUAUGGUAUUGUUAUGCGUCGACCCGCUGUGAGGAAGUUGUUUAAUUUUCCUGCUUUGGAAGCUCAGUCUGCACCUGCACUGAAUUCAGCCUUGGAUAUGUUUGGUGGAUCCAAGGCAGUACCUUCAGCAAAGCCAUCUUUAUCACUCACGGAAUUGGAGGAAAUAAGACACGAACUAGCAUACAUGGCCGCCCAGCCCAGAGGAUCGCCGGAGUGGAGGAAAUUGAUGGCACUCUAUAAGCAUUGUUCUUCGGGUAUUGCUGAUGCUGCAGCUCUUGGGUAUCGGGCAAAAAAAAUUGAAAAGAAGGAGAAAUCUAGAGGCAAAUCUCGAAAGGGCAGGUAA